GAUGAACGCUAGCUCCAGGCUUAACACAUGCAAGUCGAGGGACCGGCGCCCGGGUGAGUAACACGUAUCCAACCUGCCCUUUACUCGGGGAUAGCCUUUCGCAAGAACGAUUAAUACCCGAUCUAAAGGAUGGGGAUGCGUUCCAUUAGGUUGUUGGUGAGGUAACGGCUCAACAAGGCUUCGAUGGAUAGGGGUUCUGAGAGGAAGGUCCCCAAAAAUUGAACGUGGACACGGGCCAAAAGCCGACGGGAGGCAGCAGUUAGGAAUAAUGGUCAAUGGGCGCUAGCCUUAAACAGCCAAGUAACGGUAAGGAUGAAGGGUUAUGGGUCGUAAACUUCUUUUAUAUAAGAAUAUGUAUUAUAUGAAUAAGGAUCGGCUAACUCCGUGCCAGCAGCCGCGGUAAUUC
rnacentral:rRNA from 1 species